UGAGGAAUAUUGCACAAUGGGCGCAAGCCUGAUGAGGCAACGCCGCGUGAGGGACGAAGGCCUUCGGGUCGUAAACCUCUUUUCUGGGGGACGAGUAAGGACGGUACCUCAGGAAUAAGUCUCGGCUAACUACGUGCCAGCAGCCGCGGUAAAACGUAGGAGGCGAGCGUUAUCCGGAUUUACUGGGCGUAAAGCGUACGCAGGUGGCUUCGUGAGUCGGACAUGAAAGCUCCCGGCUUAACUGGGAGAGGUUGUUCGAUACUGCGAGGCUUGAGGUUGGGAGAGGGACGUGAAAUUCCCGGUGUAGUGGUGGAAUGCGUAGAUAUCGGGAAGAACACCAGUGGCGCAAGCGGCGCCCUGGCCCACACCUGACGCUGAGGUACGGAAUCGUGGGUAGCAAACAG
rnacentral:rRNA from 1 species